rnacentral:rRNA from 1 species
GAUGAACGCUGGCGGCGUGCCUAAUACAUGCAAGUCGAGCGAAUGGAUUAAGAGCUUGCUCUUAUGAAGUUAGCGGCGGACGGGUGAGUAACACGUGGGUAACCUGCCCAUAAGACUGGGAUAACUCCGGGAAACCGGGGCUAAUACCGGAUAACAUUUUGAACCGCAUGGUUCGAAAUUGAAAGGCGGCUUCGGCUGUCACUUAUGGAUGGACCCGCGUCGCAUUAGCUAGUUGGUGAGGUAACGGCUCACCAAGGCAACGAUGCGUAGCCGAGCUGAGAGGGUGAUCGGCCACACUGGGACUGAGACACGGCCCAGACUGCUACGGGAGGCAGCAGUAGGGAAUCUUACGCAAUGGACGAAAGUCUGACGGAGCAACGCCGCGUGAGUGAUGAAGGCUUUCGGGUCGUAAAACUCUGUUGUUAGGGAAGAACAAGUGCUAGUUGAAUAAGCUGGCACCUUGACGGUACCUAACCAGAAAGCCACGGCUAACUACGUGCCAGCAGCCGCAGUAA